CUCCUUGAACACUCGCAUGUGGCGGUGGAUCUUACUCCUUCCAGCCAGUGAGGAUCCAGCAACCUGCUCCGUGCCUCCCGCGCCUGUUGGUUGGAAGUGACGACUUUGAAGAUCGGCCGGUUGGAAGUGACGACCUUGAAGAUCGGCGGGCGCAGCGGGGCUGAGGGGGCGGGUCUGGCGCUAGGUCCCGCCCCUGCGUGCCGGGAACCCCAGAGGAGGUCGCAGUUCAGCCCAGCUGAGGCCUGUCUGCAGAAUCCACACCAACCAGCAUCAUGUCCAUGACACUGGGAUACUGGGACAUCCGCGGGCUGGCCCACGCCAUCCGCCUGCUCCUGGAAUACACAGACUCAAGCUACGAGGAAAAGAAGUACACGAUGGGGGAUGCUCCUGACUAUGACAGAAGCCAGUGGCUGAAUGAAAAAUUCAAGCUGGGCCUGGACUUUCCCAAUGUAGGUGCAGGGGAAGGGGCGGUUUUGGGGGAAAGUGCGACGUGUCUCAGACUGCAUCUCCUCUCCCCAGCUUAGAAGUGUUAGGAUCAAGAGUCUUCUGCCCAAUUCCUCUCACUCCUGGCUGUCUACACAGCCCUUCCAUGAUGUUCUGUGUCCCAGCUCAUUUGUUCAUGUGACAGUAUUUCUAUCUCAGGCCUGCCAUGAGCCGCCACAGUGAGUGCCCGGUCUCCUCUCUGCCCUUGCAUAUGGGAAGGGGAUGCUGGGGAGCCUGGUGGCCCAACUGAGCUUCCCCGGUUUCCCAUCUAUCCAGCUGCCCUACUUGAUUGAUGGGACUCACAAGAUCACCCAGAGCAAC
rnacentral:sRNA from 1 species